rnacentral:lncRNA from 1 species
GACUGUGGAAACAAGUUCUGUCAACGAGAGGAAAAGCCUUGAGACUUCACCCACACAGUGUUGAGGUUACUGGAUUGCUACCCGUCUCAAAUGUCCACAAUUAAAGGUAAUGAAGUUGAGAGAAAAUACAGAACACCACCAGAGUACUCUCAGGGUCAAGCUGCUUCAGAACCGUUCGUGUAGCGCUGCCAACCCGUCGAGCCCAGCUGGGACCAUGAUUGCUUCAGGACUGGCUGAAGAACAGAUGUUGGUUGUGACAAGAAAAACUGAAGUCCACGAAAGCAUGGCAUCCCGAGCUCUCCUGAGCGAAAAGUAAGUGCAUGAAAAAGUACAAAUAACAUCUGUACACAGCUGUUAGUGGCAGAUUACAGACACGGGUAACAGGGCUCAUUAUGGUGAGGAUGAGACAGUGUUUGGAGUCAUCUUUGUGCUUCCAUGUCCUUAAUGUGCUCCCCAGCCUUUUUCAGAUGCAGCAUAGCAGAAAAGAAAGCAAUUUUAGUUGUCGUGAA